rnacentral:rRNA from 1 species
UAAGCAUAUAAGUAAGCGGAGGAAAAGAAACUAAAUAGGAUUCCCUUAGUAAUGGCGAAUGAACAGGGAUCAGCUCAGUAUGGAAAUCGGGGCUUCCCAGCCUUGAAUUGUAGUCUCAAGAGGUAUCGCCAACGGAGGCGCAGAUGUAAGCCUCUUGGAAAAGAGCAUCAAUGAGGGUGAGAAUCCCGUUUGUCAUCUGCAGUCCCCCGUGCACGGUGUAUCUUCUAAGAGUCGCGUUCCUCGGGAUUGGAGCGUAAAGUGGGUGGUAAAUUUCAUCUAAGGCUAAAUAUGGGUUCGAGACCGAUAGCAAACAAGUACCAUGAGGGAAAGAUGAAAAGGACUUUGAAAAGAGAGUUAAAAGUGCCUGAAAUUGCUGAAAGGGAAGCGAAUGGAACCAGUGCUCUUGGCGAGAUUGUUGUGCGCUAUGGUGAUUGCUGGCUGCUUCAGCGCAAGCGGGGUAGUUGGUACUGAGCCUGCCGCGCGCAGUGUUUCUUACCUUGUGCGUCACCGUCGGUUCACAGGCGAGGAUACUUCCUGAGGACAUGGUAACUCUUCCACGGAGGUGUGAAUGUCUUUGGUAAUACUCGUUUGUAGACCGCUCACCUUC